GAUGAACGCUGGCGGCGUGCUUAACACAUGCAAGUCGAACGAAGCACUUUAACUUGAUUCUUCGGAUGAAGGUUUUUGUGACUGAGUGGCGGACGGGUGAGUAACGCGUGGGUAACCUGCCUCAUACAGGGGGAUAACAGUUAGAAAUGACUGCUAAUACCGCAUAAGACCACGGAGCCGCAUGGCUCAGUGGGAAAAACUCCGGUGGUAUGAGAUGGACCCGCGUCUGAUUAGGUAGUUGGUGGGGUAACGGCCUACCAAGCUAACGAUCAGUAGCCGACCUGAGAGGGUGACCGGCCACAUUGGGACUGAGACACGGCCCAAACUCCUACGGGAGGCAGCAGUGGGGAAUAUUGCACAAUGGGGGAAACCCUGAUGCAGCGACGCCGCGUGAGCGAAGAAGUAUUUCGGUAUGUAAAGCUCUAUCAGCAUGGAAGAAAAUGACGGUACCUGACUAAGAAGCACCGGCUAAAUACGUGCCAGCCGCCGCCGUAA
rnacentral:rRNA from 1 species